rnacentral:rRNA from 1 species
UGAAAAGCACCCCGGAAGGGGAGUGAAAUAGAUCCUGAAACCGUGUGCCUACAAGUAGUUAGAGCCCGUUAAUGGGUGAUAGCGUGCCUUUUGUAGAAUGAACCGGCGAGUUACGAUUGCAUGCAAGGUUAAGCUGAGAAGGCGGAGCCGCAGCGAAAGCGAGUCUGAAUAGGGCGAUAGAGUAUGUAGUUGUAGACCCGAAACCAGGUGAUCUACCCAUGUCCAGGGUGAAGGUAAGGUAACACUUACUGGAGGCCCGAACCCACGCACGUUGAAAAGUGCGGGGAUGAGGUGUGGGUAGCGGAGAAAUUCCAAUCGAACCUGGAGAUAGCUGGUUCUCUCCGAAAUAGCUUUAGGGCUAGCCUCAAUUUUGAGAAUCCUGGAGGUAGAGCACUGUUUGGACUAGGGGCCCAUCCCGGGUUACCGAAUUCAGACAAACUCCGAAUGCCAGAGAUUUAUAAUUGGGAGUCAGACUGCGAGUGAUAAGAUCCGUAGUCAAGAGGGAAACAGCCCAGACCACCAGCUAAGGUCCCCAAGUAAUUGUUAAGUGGAAAAGGAUGUGGCGUUGCUUAGACAACCAGGAUGUUGGCUUAGAAGCAGCCAUCAUUUAAAGAGUGCGUAAUAGCUCACUGGUCGAGUGACACUGCGCCGAAAAUGUACCGGGGCUAAACGGAUUACCGAAGCUGUGGAUGGAUCCCGUAUGGGAUCCGUGGUAGGAGAGCGUUCUAAGGGCGUUGAAGCUGGACCGGAAGGACUGGUGGAGCGCUUAGAAGUGAGAAUGCCGGUAUGAGUAGCGAAAGACGGGUGAGAAUCCCGUCCACCGAAUGACUAAGGUUUCCUGAGGAAGGCUCGUCCGCUCAGGGUUAGUCGGGACCUAAGCCGAGGCCGAUAGGCGUAGGCGAUGGACAACAGGUUGAUAUUCCUGUACCACCACUCCACCGUUUGAGUAAUGGGGGGACGCAGAAGGAUAGGGUAAGCGUACUGUUGGUUAUGUACGUUCAAGCAGUGAGGCGUGGAAUGAGGCAAAUCCCGUUCCUAUAACGUUGAGCUGUGAUGACAAGGACCAUUAGGUCUGAGUUCCUGAUUUCACACUGCCAAGAAAAGCCUCUAACGAGGUGGAAGGUGCCCGUACCGCAAACCGACACAGGUAGUCGAGGAGAGAAUCCUAAGGUGAGCGAGAGAACUCUCGUUAAGGAACUCGGCAAAAUGACCCCGUAACUUCGGGAGAAGGGGUGCUCUAUUAGGGUGUUAAAGCCUGAGAGAGCCGCAGUGAAUAGGCCCAGGCGACUGUUUAGCAAAAACACAGGUCUCUGCAAAACCGUAAGGUGACGUAUAGGGGCUGACGCCUGCCCGGUGCUGGAAGGUUAAGAGGAGUGCUUAGCGCAAGCGAAGGUGCGAAUUGAAGCCCCAGUAAACGGCGGCCGUAACUAUAACGGUCCUAAGGUAGCGAAAUUCCUUGUCGGGUAAGUUCCGACCCGCACGAAAGGCGUAACGAUCUGGGCACUGUCUCAACGAGAGACUCGGUGAAAUUAUAGUACCUGUGAAGAUGCAGGUUACCCGCGACAGGACGGAAAGACCCCGUGGAGCUUUACUGUAGCCUGAUAUUGAAUUUUGGUACAACUUGUACAGGAUAGGUAGGAGCCUGAGAUUCCGGAGCGCCAGCUUCGGAGGAGGCGUCGGUGGGAUACUACCCUGGUUGUAUUGAACUUCUAACCCUUGCCCCUUAGCGGGGCAGGAGACAGUGUCAGGCGGGCAGUUUGACUGGGGCGGUCGCCUCCUAAAGUGUAACGGAGGCGCCCAAAGGUUCCCUCAGAAUGGUUGGAAAUCAUUCGUAGAGUGUAAAGGCAGAAGGGAGCUUGACUGCGAGACCUACAAGUCGAGCAGGGUCGAAAGACGGGCUUAGUGAUCCGGUGGUUCCGCAUGGAAGGGCCAUCGCUCAACGGAUAAAAGGUACCCCGGGGAUAACAGGCUUAUCUCCCCCAAGAGUUCACAUCGACGGGGAGGUUUGG